rnacentral:lncRNA from 1 species
CUUUUGGGUAGAUAUUUUCUACCAUUUUAUUUCCAUCUUCUUUAAGAAUGAGACAUUUGGAUUGAAGAAAAAGGCCCCAUCAUUCAUCUCAAAUCUGGUCUAUAAAACUAAGUACCUUUGAUUAUGCCUCCCUUGCAGCUUAGCCCAACUGUCACUCGACAGGCGUUUGUCGGACAAAAUCAACACUAAUCAACAUUUAUUCGUCUCUUGCCCUUGGGUCUGAGGAGCGCGAGCGGGCUGCGCCAUUCUCCCGCUCGUCUCGCCACGCUUUUCACCCUCCAUCCAGCUUCGCCAUAUAUCACCCUUCCUCCUGGUGCCUCUCCUCGGACGGAUCCACAUACUCAGCUAUCAGGGUACAUUAGAGGCAUGAUAGAUUUUCUGUUUUAAUUUACAUCUAUUAUAUUACAACAUAACAGAUUCUGAUUCAGGAGAGACCAACGUCUCCUAUAGGCAGACUCCUUGGGAGGAUUUCUGCAUUAACUUAUUAAGGUUCGUUAGGAUGCAGCUUCAGAUAGACUCCCUUGCCCGUUCUUUCCUUGUCUCCCUCUCUCCCUCUCUCUCUCCCUCCCUCCCCCCUCUCUGGCACGCUCAGUGAAGAUGUCUGGGUGCACCUUCUUCACAAGCACAGCUCAUUCUCUUUAGACUUGGCUUCCUCUGCUGGGUCACAUGAGGCCGGCUUCCUCCCGUACUUUCUGAUUGGACUUUGAUCAGCCUACGGUGGGAGUUGUGGGCCCCCCUUUCCUGCCUGGGUAAAUGGGCCUUGACAAAUCUGGUGGCUUAGAGUCAGUGGGCACCCCCUCCCAGACUUUAGUCCUAGCCCCCAGCAUCUUCUUUUGCUUUUUUUUUCCCUUUUGGUCUCAGUUACAGUUAGAUUUUAUUUUUAUUGAAACACAGUUCUACAGAGACAGAGGGAGAAACCAAAAUUGGUUGGGCUAACCAAGGAGAAGGAAGUUGAAGGGAGAACCGAAGGAGUGAGUUGAAACAAGGCUGUUUUCUUCUGUACGUGUCCAUCUUGGAAGCAUCUUACGCCAGUUUGGAACAGGGUGGCUUGUUUCUGGCAUAUGAGAUAUAUGUAUGUAUCGUUCCCUCAUAAAGUGCCUUUCCACCUCAUUUAUGAUAUUGGCUUUUUAUUUUUAUCCUUUCUCUCCCUUUCUUUCACCAGAGAUGUAGUGUUGAGUACAUCUUUUAUUUGAUGACGUAGUAUUUCCCCUUGAUUUUUGGUGGGCCUGGAGCGUUUAUGACUGUUGACUAAGGUCACAUUAAGCUUGGAUAUCUAGUCACCUGUUUGCUGGCUGCAGAGAAGAGCUUGAGAAGGGGACAGAAAUCCUCCCCUCUGCUCACCUCCUUUUACCCUGUAGUACUUUACGCACGGACACCGUGGCUUUGUCAAAUGCCCAGGGAGACUGUGUCUUUCUUCUCAAAUUGGCUGUAACGCUAGAUCCUUGGCCACUUAGAAGGCCUGAGUUUAUUAUUUUUUCCGCCAAGCUGUCGAUUCUAAACUGGAGUAAGGUUCCUUUUGUGGGCAGAAUGCUGAGGAGCCCCGGGCCGAGUUGGGGAUGUGUGGUCUGCGUGUGUUUGCCUGUGGCUGCUGAGUGUAGGCUGUGUUAGGAGGAUAGCUGAGGACUUCCAUUUUGGUUUCUUAUUACGCAGCAAUAAAGUAAAUGAUGCUUAGUAUAACUUUGCACUUACAGAACUGUAGCUCGAUUUGAGAAACAAAACUCCACCAACAGGAGUGCUCAGUAUCUUGAGCUUGGGAGACUGACCUCGUUAAUUUUAAUGAGGGGAAAAAUUCUCCAGCUGGGGCUGAGAAGAAAGUGAAAUACCGAUGAGGUUAUCACUUUGGAUGAUCUCACUGAUUUCAGAGUAGAAUCGGAACGAUGUUUGGAGAGUUUUCUAAAAUCCUGUGGAGAGAUUUAGAAGAGAAUACAUCUGCCCUUGAUGAUAUUAAGGGGCUGCUUCCCCUGGUGGGCAGAGCAGAAUUCUACGUUGUCCCUCUUAAAGGUGCUAUUAGAAAGGUGAACAUAUUAAAAAGUUAGGCUGAAAGAAAACCGAAAGAAAAACUGAAUUAAUGUGAUUCUUAUGUGGGUCUAGCCUGAAAACAAUGGAGCUGGUCUUAGAGUGGCCGAGACAGUUGACUAGAAGCCAAGGGCUUCUGAGUUCAAGUGCCUGCUGGGACGCUAGCUUCCAGUGGGAUUUGGGGCAUCUGUUUCUUUAUCACCCAAAGGCAGGAGGUGGGCUGAGGGCGUCCUGUUUUACAGUCGGCAGCUAUUUGAUUUGAACAGUAAGUUGAUGACUUUGGCCCUGCCAUUAAGGAGCUGACAGAUUGUGACCAAUGAGGUUAGGAUGACUGUAGGACAGUUUUGCCCUCGGUUAGGAGGGGCUUGCCAAGUUCUACUGACAUUGGUUGGGGACCACAGAAGGAAGCAUCAUCAUGUAAGGUAUAUGGCCCCCUUACAUUAGCCUAGUCCACAACACGGCUGAUCCUAGGAAAAAGAUCAUUCUGCCAAUGAAUUUUUUGAAGGUAUGGGGCAGACAGCACAGCAUUUCUCCUCCAAAAGCUCAAGCUUGCUGACUCAGUCUCUUUUCUCAUCUUUCUGGCAUGUCACUGCUCUCAGUAGAAGAUUUGUGCAACCAUUGGGUACAAAUUCAAGUGUUACCAAAGGGACACUUUCUGAUUAAAUGGGACCAUCUUGCUCUAGGGGCCAUCUGGCUAUCAGUGGAAUUUUGCGGGGGGCGGGGGGUCCAUUAAUACUUGUAACCUCCCUUGAAAUUCAGCCUUUUUCUCUGCAAGCUGGAAGACAACAGUUCAGGGCACUUGUGCUGCUGCUAUGGCUGUGUGUGUAUGUGAUGGGAAAUGCUGGUUGCCAAGCAGCAGAGAAUGGACAUAAUCGUGCUGCCUAGCAACAGCGGCAGCGUGGUCACUUACACAGAUUUCUGCGCCUCUUCCUGUUUGGUCUGCUGGAAAAUACAGAUGGCUUCCGUGGGUCGCUGUCUGCCCUAGUCACAAUGAGACGUAGGUAACCCUGGUGAACCAUGGUGGAUAAAUACACAAGUGCAGGCUUUAAAAUAAUUACUUUCCAAACUGUCAAGGGCUGAUUGCUGAUUUUUGCACAGCAUUCCUCAGUUUCCCCUUUGAAGUUAUUGUGCACAACAGGCCAAGUAGGUUGGCUGUUAAGCCAGAAGAGGAAUCUUAGAAAAGUCCCAGACUUCUCUGGAUGCUGCCUUUACUGAGCCUGGUGAGCCUUUACUCCGCACGUGUGAAUAAAAUAUGAAACAGUCAAUUUUCUGAUAAAGACACACACACACACAAUGUGAAAAAGACAAGAGGAGCAGAGCGUGACUACCUAUUGUUCUUUGGGGACUGAAGAACAAAGCAGGCAAGAGAAAGGCAGGCCAUCCCUGCUGGCUUGCCCUUUCUCCCAGCUCUGACCAGCACCUCUCACACGUGACACUCCUCAGUGAGGUCACCUGCGCACUACAGAUGCCAAGGAUGCUUGCUUGGCACAGGCCUCCUGGGUCAGAGGGCCGGCCUUUGCUCUUCUUGGCGGUUCUGUGUAUGGAGCACUGGGAGUGUUUGCAGCUGAAUGCUUAAGGAAGAUAUUAUCUGGCAGUGGGAAAAGGGAGUGAGUCUGUGCUCUCUCCUACCCCUCUCGGGUGAGUAAGUACUGCCUGCCUGUUUUCUGUCUCUAGGAGUUGAAUUGGCCAGCCCAAACUACAGGCCUGGCGUCAGAAGACCCUGGUUCAAUCUUUAUUUUGACUGCCUGCCAAUGGUGCGGCUUUCUGCAAGCCACUUGGUCCACCUGAACCUUUGUGUUCUUGUCUGUAAGGGAUAGCAAUAUCUGCCUCACAGAGUGGCUUGACGGUUCAAAAAGGCAUGUUUGUUGGCACAUCUGGCAUGCAGCAAGUAUAAGUACUUGUUGCUGUUAGCCUCCUCCCAGUGGUUAAAGAGCAGGAAGUGAGGAGAAGAAGACAAGCACUGUCGCAGCCUAUUCAGUACACACUUAAACCUCUUGGAUUCUGUCUUCAGUCUUAGCCUUUGAAGUGAAGAGCCAUUAUUUCCCUCCAUUUAGGUUGGAGAAGACAAGACUGCCCUCCUUUUGAUGCUUGACUUGGUUCCUAGGGAGCCUGGAAGGUAUUAAUCUAUUUUUAGUGGUUUCUUAGAUAAUCCUUACAGAAUCAGGAUGGUUUGCUCCCAUUUCACAGAUGAUGAGACAGUAAUACAGAACAAUGAGAUUGUUUGUUUGGGGUCCUAGAGACCAUUGGUUCCAAGAUGGGAUCAAAAUCCUAGGGCCUAAUGGGGUACAUGAAGCCCCUGGCAAAGCCAGAGGGGAUGGAGUAGUGUAGAAAGUCACUGUGGAGUCAGAAGGUUCUAGGAGCGGAUGAGACUUGAACUUUAGACUUCAAAAUUGCCAUAUUAGUGAGUCUCCUCUGGACAGAUUGCAGCGUGGCUUCUGGGAGCCUAUGUGAGGUAGGUGGAUCAGCAGGGUUGAAAGAAGGCCUUGUGACUUCUCUGUUCCUUCUGUAUGUCUAUGUUUGUAUGUCUAUUAGUAUGUCUGUUACCCUGCGGAGGGGCAGAGGGAUUCCAACGGGGAAGGCUCCUGGUUCCCACCUUGCCUCGCUCAUUGAAGUCCUGCUAAGCGCUCUCAUUCUUCAGUUUCGCCAGUACGGAUGAUGAUAAUGUUGACCUGUUUCUCAGAGUAAGUAGGUCUAGGGUCGGGAAUUAUCACCUUUGACUAUUCUAAAGUGCUCCAGUCAGCAAAUUGCUCCUUGCCCAACGUAGAUCCUUGGGAACGAUGUGACGACACUAGCGUGAAGGACAGUAUGUACUUAUUUUCAUUGGUUACUUGUGUCUUGAAGCAAACACAGGCACAAUCUUCCAGACAAACAACUGUUAACAGCUUAACUUCUCUGUCAAAGGAGGGCCUGGGUCUCUCAGAGCCCUUCUGGCUCUCAGAGUUAUAACCUCUCCAGGAUGCCAGUGUCCUCGGCUGUUUCUUGUUCUCUGUGCAGGGAGAGACCAUCCCCUCAGAGCAGCCCUUCUGGGACUUUGAGCAGAAAGUUUAAAAGCAGUGUGGUUCUAAAAUUCCACACCACCUGUUCUUUCAGUUGUGUCCUCUCUGAGCUGCCUCUGACUGUCGCAUUCCAUGGCCGUGUGCCACUGCUGACUCGUGAUACUCGUCUUAGCGUUUUACUUGCGAGUUGGGGGCAGGGAGGAAGGAGAGAGAAGAUAUGAGAGGGAAGGAGAGGAGACAUGGGUGGGGUCCACACACUCAUCUCUUCAUUAUUAAAGGGGUGCAGUGGCUCCCACUAUGGCACCCAGGAAACUAGCUCAGGCCAGGAGGACACCCAGUGACCUGAUAGAGACCAGUACAGCAAUUAGGCCUUUUUCCCUAGCAGACAUGCUUCCUCAGCUGCCUCCUACUUGGUUCUAUCUGGAAAUGACCUGCCUUCUUGUGGCCUGGUUUCAUGUGGUUCUCUCUGUGAGACUCUUGGUAGAAGCCUUGGUUACUACCAAAGGCAGCUUGUGGUGCAGCCUCAGCCCCAGCCUGGCUCAGAGGUAUUCUCUCAGCUGUUCAUUGGGUAGGCACAUAAUGAAGAAGAAACAAGGCCUGAGGAACAGCUUCAAGGCUCUGUGUCUUCCCCAGUGGAUUUCAAGAAUUCCAGUUCUUAUUCUGGUCAGAGAGCAUUGUGAGGAAGGAGAUUUUAUUGUCUGCUGUCACCCUCCAAAUGGUGUGUGCUUGUGGAUUGGUAUCCUUUCCAUGACAAAUAUCACAUAUUGUGUUUGUUUCUGUAUGGUUACAGCGACUUUUGGUAUUCAGCUAACACCCUUCCUUUAAGGAAGUUAGAAGACUUGAUAAAUUCUAAGUCUUUGAUCCUCACAAGUACUUCUGGAAAAUUGAGGUCCGGUGAGAUAAAGUACUUUGAUUAGUUAUAGAACAUGCAUACUGCUUUUUGGUUGUUCCUUUUCUCUCUCUCCUCUCUCCCCUUUUCCUACUUCCUCUUCCUCUCCCUCUCUCUUUCACCCUCCCUCUAUUUUGUUAGGAAAUUAUUUUAAGGUAGAGGUUAGCAGUAUUCUGCUUUCACAUGAUAAGCCCCGUCUCUAGUACUGUUUAUUUCUAUUGGUCUAUUUUUCAGAGGUGCUUAUGUGCGUUUCCACAUGUCCAUCACCAUCCGUCUGAGGGAGUGUGCAUGAGAAGGUGGUAGUCACCUCACUUCAGAAGGGAGGGAACUGAGUACAGUCUUGUUCUAUCUUGUGGAAACUGAGUCCCAGUGAGUGGAAGUGUCUUGCCGAGGGGAUGUGACUAUGAAUAAGAAAUGGAAGUAAAAACAGGCCCCAGAUAUUUCACCUGGCUCUCACCUACAUUACUCCAAAGUUUGGUCUCAGACUAGGACAUUUGGGGCAUCGCUCCACUGUCAUGUGGAGAACUACCCAAGUAUGUCUCAGUGGUUGAUUAAGACAGAAAAUCUUUCAGGAGUGAAUUGAAACUUGUUGGGGCAGUUGCUGUGGUCCUGAGGCCUAAGGAUUGGCAUUACAACCUUGUCUUAUAAAGUCCUAGUACAUAGCAGGUGUUCGGUAUGCAUUUAUUGAUUUGAUUAGGUAUUUUUAUCAUGGCGAACACAGUUCCUUUAAUAUCAGCAAAGACGUAGUGAAUAUAUGCUACUCACCUCCGAGAACAAUAGACGUUAGGAGAUGUUAGAAGGAAGUAUAGAAAAACCUCUCUGCCUUCAAGGAGCUCACAGUCUAGUGGUGGAGACAGGACAUGAUACAAAAUGUCUGUUCUCUGCUUUGACAGGAGUUACUGUGAUGAUUUUAAGGUAAUAGGCCACUUCUUAUUCUUUCGCCCAGCCCAGCUGUUUCAGAGGAAACGAUAGAGAGGCGGGCUUCUGCUGUGAUGGAAGUGAUGUUUUAUUUUAAGAUAAAAUAUGGAAGCAACUGAUUGAUGGAUUAUAAACUUGGAGGUCCAGGAUAAAGCUUUAUUCUGGGGGCAUCAGUAUAUUUCACUGGGAGCCUCCUGGGCAUUAAUUCUGCCGUUAAUUUUGUUAUUAGAGACCUAGCCAAACAAAGGGAGGUGGCGAAGCUCGAGGCUGGUUUAACCUUGAUGAAACAGUGAUUUCACCAAGGAUGAUGUUCCCCCAUCUAUCUUCAUCCAUCAAGGCACUGCUGAAAUAUGCUAAUGAAGCCCGAAGAUAGGAGCACAGAGCAGUUAAAUGGGGCGUUGCAGACGUUCUCCGUACCCCUGUGACAGGGCGAUGCCACUUACUGUCCAGAUUUAGUAUAGGAAGGAGAGCAAUGCUGAUGUGGUCUUGUGGUGAAAGAUAGAAGAUAGGUGGAGGUUCCACCUAGCAGAAAUGAAGGGCACGAUGCAGAGGUAUACACUCCGGAAUAAGACGGAAAAGCUUGGGUUUUGGUGAAGGGGUUGACUUCCUUUAUUCUCUUUGACUCACCUUCUAGCUAAUCUAUAUAAGAAGCAAAUAUAUGCAGUUAAGGAAGCAUUUUUGUUGCUAAGUUCCAGAAUGUGAGUGCCCACUUUGUGCCAAGUCAUCUUUUCUGUCUCCAUGUCAGUUUGCAUCACCAUGUUUGUUUCCAAUGGUUAAAUGAGCAAGUACCUUUUUUAAAGUUAUAAUUUAUUGGGUACUUAUUCAUAUGUUACAUACAUACAUUAUUGGGCUUACUAGCAAGUUAUUUCAUAUACCUCAAUCUAAUCAAAUUCUUACAAGCAUCCUAUGAAAAAGUGAAAUUAUAGCAAAUAUUUUACAGAAGAGUUUUGGGAGGUUAAAUUCAUGUCCAAAGUCACAUAGCUAGCAAGUAGUGGUUACAGUUCAAACACGUGUCCAUCCACUCCAAAGCAUGAAACCUCCAUGGUCCGAUGGCUCCUAGACAGGGUGUAUCUGGGAAUCGCUGCUAACUGUUGGGAGUCACUUGGCUCACUUACAUAUUUCUAUAUUCUUUGGAUUCACUUUAACUUUACUAUGCCUUUCACGAGUUGUUCUUUCCUAAAUAGACCAUAAGCUCUCUGAGGCCCGGGGUAGGGCCCUCUCUCUAGUCCCCCAAACACAACUGAGCAAUUUGAUUUAUAACUCACGUAUCCAUGGUUGAUACCCUAGCUUCUGUAUGGAGUGCUUAUUUUGGCAUUGUGCUUCUAGUGGAUGGUAAAAUAAAGCUGGCCAGCUGCUUUCUGGUUUCAUAUAUUAGAUGAAAGCCAUUGAGGGUUUUAUUUGUCUUUACAAGGGAAUCCUAUAGGAAUCACAGUAAAAUUUCUGAUGCUUUCAGUUUAUUGGUGGAUCCACUUCUGUUUUCUGCCAGUUGGCUGGCUUCGUCUAUCUAGUCCAUAUCCAACCACACGGAGAAAAAAGUAAAUAACAACUGAAAUUUCGUGAUUCCUUAUUAAACUGCAUCUUCCAGCCAGUCCAUUCUAGGAGCUAUGUAUAAAAUUGUGCUGAUCCUAAACCGGUAAGGUAGCCAGCCGAUCUUCUUUGCCAAGAUACAGAUUCUAAACUAUGAAGUGGCCUUAGAAAUCAGGCACAAGAAUUCCCAAAUCUAAAAUGAUUUUCAGCCAUUUUUUUUCCAGUGGAGAUGGAGGAAGGCAGAAGCUAAAAAGAGAAAAGAAAGAUGGAUUUUAAAAAAAAUUUCAAUAAGAUGCUAAGUGACAUACAUUCUCUGAAAUAAACUGUGCCAGAAUAAAAUCACCAUGUUGGCCAUAAAGUCUUUUCUGCCAUUUAUCAAGCCAGUUUGAAGUUUGGGGACUCUAAACUGUUAUUAAAGAGUUAAUAACCAAAGGCCUGGAACUUCCAGGACGUCGUGUGGGUCAGUGUAUCUUGCCAAAAGGUAACAUCAGCCAGUGGAGUCAGUUGGGCUCUCCGUCUGGCAGAUCUGUCUUUCUCAGCUGCUCCUCCUCCACUUUCUAGUCUUGGAGUUCAUAUACAGUAAAUCUUUCUCUUAAUAAAGCCAUUUUUCAAAUCUGACUUUGGACUAGGGACUGCUUUUUCUCCAAAUGCAACAGCUGUUAAACAUGGUGCAUUGGGCACGGUGUAUAUCUCUUUGUUUAGUUUUGGGUUUUUAAUAUGAGCAGAGACAUAAAGGAGUGGGAGGGCUCUAUCGAUUUCUUUCUACCCAGAGUCAGCCACUGGGUUUGGAAAUAAGGCCUCCAGCCUCACAAGGCCCCUGGACUCCCUGGGCUACUCACCCUUGAAGACGAAGCCUAUUGUCCCCUAAUAACCAGCACAGGGUACCCCUUCCUUUUGGCGAGAUGAAAUUGUGGAGCUCAAGGUGUCAGCCAGCGGGGCCAGACCUUUUGGCCCUUAUCUGUCCCAGUUACAUGGGGAAAGGCAUUUUUGCCCCCUUGCUCUCUCAUCCUUCUGUCACUGUCUCUGUUCCCAAUGCGCUGGGGAGCAUUAACUCCCUGCAGGGGAAAAAAGUUCACAAAAGAAAUGAAUUAUGCAUAUGGAAUUCAUUUCCUUGAUGAAUAGGGAAUCUGAACAAACUCCAUGGCUGUUCGAUUUUAAGGCAGAGAGGAAGGGAGUGGGUAGGGCUAAACAGUAUAAAGGGGGGUGAUCAAAAAGAAUUUGGAGCAAGAGGUGGGAGAAAAAUGAUGGCAGAAGGACUUGGGCUUGAAAUAUUAAGGGCGAAGUAAGUGGCCCUGUGAAAGUAGUUCAUGGCCCAUUAUUCUUGACAAUAUAUACCCUCUAAUACGUACCUUACUCCCAAUUAAUGUGCAAAUAUUUCAGUGGAGAAAUGGACGGUGGUGGUAAGAUUAGACUGGGGAGAAAUGACACCACCAUGGUGGCAGGACCCUGCUGAAUUCAAGUUUUGUAGUGACUUCUGACUUACUUCGUUAGAGGUUAACAGGGAACGCUUUGAAUUUUGAGCCAGAAAUUGUGUGGUGGGCAGAGCGCUGCACUUAGGAGUGGUAGACUUGGAGCCGAGCUCUAGGAUACAGACCGUGUGACCUUGGGCAAGUCAUUUCACCUUUCUCAGCCUCAGUCGUCUCAUCUGUAAAUGGGGAGCAUGACAUCUGCCUCGUGGAGGUACUAGAAGUAAAAGAAAGUGCUUUGACAAGGAACACAAAAUGCAAAUCUGAAGAGAUUUUAUUUUUCUAUCUCUGCCUUCUUUCCUUGACAGCCUUCUAGAUGUUCAGACCUAGUCUUUAAGCAAGCCGGAAUUUCUUUGGAGCAGAAUGAAGGAGAAAUGGAUUCAGGAGCACAUGGUGGUUAAAGAAAUAAGUGAAGAAACAAACAAAAAAUUCUGUUGUAAUCCUCACCUCAUCUACAUUAGGAAAAUCAUUGAAAAUAAUCAAUCUGAUGUUUUUGGCAAAUUUAGCCACUGAAUCAGUACUUGUUGCUGCAUAACUGGUUUGAUCGACAGUAGGAACGCUUGUCCUUGACAGCUACAUAAAUUAAGGAGUCAACCUGAAGGUGGAUUUUAGAGUUUCUUCUAUAGGCUGACUACCAGGAAGGGGCAGUCUCUUUCUUGACUGCCAAAGACCUGUGGAUGCUUCUCCUGGCUUCUAAUUGUUCUCCAUUACUCAUUUCUUCUGAAUGAAAAAAGGGCUUGGGGACCCUAAGUCUUCAGAGGAGGUAACAGAGUCACACGCAUGCAUGCAUGCACACUACACAUAUGUUAGGGAGAGUCCCUGCUUGCUGAGGGAGAUCUUUUGAUAGUCUUGGGGGACUUAAAUCUUAUUUCAGGAUUGAGUGAAUUGAACAGACCCGACCACUGCCAUGUCUCUUUAUUUUUCUUACAACCCAAUUGCAAUACAUGCAGUUUUCACAGAGGUGUACUUGUUUUUCAACAAAUGCCUUCUUUUUCUUGUUUUUUUUGUUGGGGGGGUGGGGGGAUGAAGAUGUGUAAUGUGAGGAUGCGUAAUGUAAUGAAAUUGUAUCUUUUGGGCUGCCCAUCAUAAACACGCGAUACAACUGUGUGUCCUGUGGUGCAGUAGUUUUCAAUCCAUGCCCCUCAGGGCCCAGGAAGGGUGGGGGGCGCCCCACGGCUGUCCUCCUGGCUCUGGGCUUCCACCCCAACUUCAACCCCUGCACUUCUGUUUCAUGGAUUUUAUUUGUUUGACUUUGUGGGUAAGAGUCUGCCUCUAAGAAAUGUUUGAAACCCAGUAAUGCAGAGAAUAGACCAAUACCUAGUAUGAAUUAUUUAUUUGUUUAUUAAGAUUUUCAUGGCACCUUUCCUCUCAAAGUUCCGGGCACUAUAUGGAACGCUUCAAACUGAUAGCAUUUGGCACUAAAGAUUGAGAACAAGGCCAGUGGUUGAGGAAACACUAGGCAAGAUGGGAAAAAAAGGAAGAAAAAGAAGAGGGAAUAGAAGUUGGCUGUUCAGACCUCAGAGAUAACCCUUGAGCCAGAGGAAGCGGGUCAUGAAGACCUGCGGCUCUGCGGGGAGGAAUCCAUCUCUACCAAUAAGCUGGGUUAUUAGGGAAAGUCACUUCACCUUUCUGAGCCUCCUCCACUAUAUGGCGGUGACCUAGUUGACCCUCCAGGCCCCUCCCAGGUCUGAUCUUUCAUGGAGGCUGAGAAGCUUAGCUUUUAGGUGAGCAGGCCUAACACUCCCACCAAGUCGUUAUGGUAAUAAAAAUGUUUUUUUAAUGUUAUGCAUAAACCUUUUAAUAACGAGUGUAUUUGGUACAGAGUGGUUUUUUUCAACUCUGGCUGCACAUUAAAAUUACCUGGGGAACUUUUAUAAAAUACCACCAAUGCCUGGGCUCCAUCCUGGAAAAAUGAGAUCGGAACCUUUGGGAGCUGCUGCUGAGCAUUCGUAUUUUCUCAAAGGGUCCCAGCUUCUUGUGUUGUGCUCCAAGGUGGUAAAGUACUGCUGUGGGGAACUGGGGAGGGUGAUUAGAGGAGGCGAGAUUGAGAAUGCCCAAAGAGAGGAAAG